AGGAAGAGGAGGGAAAGGUGACCGGGAGAGCGGGGCGCUGUGCCAGGGAGCAGCAUCCAGGACCGUGAUCGUGGGCAGGGGGGACGCGCCGGGCCGAGUGUGCCCGAGACCAGGCGCGUACACGUGUCCGUGUGUGUGUGUGAGGAGUGUGUGUGAGCGAGAGGAGAGGCGAGGAGAGGAGCCUACCAUGCGCUUCCCCCGGUGCAGAUCGCGGGAGAGCCCAAUCACAGGGCGAGCUGGACCCGGCUCUGAUCAUUUAUAAUCCUUGACUCCUCCGCUCCGCCACUUGUCAAGAUGACAGGGGUCAUCCAUGAAUAACACUUCACGCUGAUGAAUGGCUCUUGCCGGCUUUCGGCUCUGAUGAGGGGUCUGCCCGCCGCUGAUUGCAAACACUAAUGAACUUGCAGCGCCGUGUGAAAUUCACGCGCGCCAACAAAGUGCGGGGGGUGGGCAUUUCAGGGCAGCUGAGUCACCCGAGGAGGUGGGAGUGCGAGACACUGCCGGGAAGAGGGAUUCGGAGGCAGAAGGGUGUAAUUAAGGAUUUCCACCCCCAGUAGGCGGUCCGUCCUUUCCAGAGCCUCUGCAAAUGACCUGCGCCUUCUUUUCCUGAGCGUCCUCUCCUCCGAGACAGAAAAGCGCAAAUGACCUUCGGACGGGGGAGGGCGGUACUAAACACUCAGACUUCCGCGCGAGCGCCAGCUGAGCGCUGUAUUAAAACAAGUGUCCGCCCCCGGGUUCAAGUGCCUGGACCUCCAACAAGCACGAACUGACCGGGGGCGGACUCUUGAGUCUUCUGAAGGCUCCGCACCCCUCAUUCAUUCGUGCAUUCAUUCAUUCCCUCCCUCCCCGCAGAUUAGCUGCGGAGCUCUAACGGUCUCAACUUUGUGUGCUGUCAGAGGAAACAAAGUUUACUGCUUUGCGCUGGACACUGCCACUUCCUACUCAAGUUCUCACCAAAAACUUUGCCUCCUGGAUCCCCAGGCCCAGCCCGCCUAGGCUAGAAAAAAAGCCCUGGGGGUGUGGUGGGGGUGGGGGCAAGCUUUCCAAACUGCUGGGAGCUCCCGCUGUGCCGGAGUUUGGGAACACCGAAUGGGGCGGCCUCUGUGGAGCUGCUCGCUGGCUCCUCUGUCCCUUGGAUCCUUCUGUCACCUUUCUGUUCUGACAUCUGGCGGUGGACCGGGUGGGGCGUGCGCGCUUGGAGCCCCCUCGGUGGGGCGCCUGAAAUGCCCCCGCCUUCCCGGGGACCGCCGCCUGCCCGCGAGUAGUUGAGCGUCAAAGUCCCGGCCUGUUCUCGGAAACCUGGCGGAGUGCCUGGUGCGCGCCCAGCCUUCUCGUCCCACCUCCCACGCUCAGCUUCAGAACCGCGACACCCCCGGCCUGUCCCUACUUUGACUCGGCGGGAAGGAAAUAACCCUUGCCCGUGUGACUGCAGAGCGACAAACAGGUCACGCGACUGCGAAACAGGGACAACGCCGCCUAGGAAAGCCUGGGUCCCUUUAUGAGAGUUACUCCAAAGUUUGGGCUAGAACUGACAAAGAGAAUCCCUGAACUCCAAUGCGAGUGUGCCCCGACCCACGUCCGAGCUCCUGAGGAUGCUAAGUGACCCAGUCCCCGCAACGCGCGAGAAAAGUCGGGGCAUAAACAAGCCCGACCUGACUCCGCGGCGCGAGAGACGCAAAGCGCCACACUCACAUCUUGGCUGGAGGAACUGAGUUGCCUUGGGGUGGAUAGUCGCCUUCCUGCCUUGUGAA